GAAUUUUGGACAAUGGGCGAAAGCCUGAUCCAGCAAUGCCGCGUGCAGGAUGAAGGCCUUCGGCUUGUAAACUGCUUUUGUACAGAAAGCAAAGCUUUGGGUUAAUACCCUGGAGUCAUGACGGUACCGUAAGAAUAUGCAACGGCUAUCUACGUGCCAGCAGCAGGGGUAAUACGUAGGGUGCAAGCGUUAACCGGAAUUACUGGGCGUAAAGCGUGCGCAGGCGGUUUUGUAAGACAGUGGUGAAAUCCCCGGGCUCAACCUGGGAACUGCCUUUGUGACUGCAAGGCUAGAGUACGGCAGAGGGGGGUGGAAUUCCGCGUGUAGCAGUGAAAUGCGUAGAUAUGCGGAGGAACACCGAUGGCGAAGGCAACCCCCUGGGCCUGUACUGACGCUCAUGCACGAAAGCGUGGGGAGCAAACA
rnacentral:rRNA from 1 species